UCAUACAGGCAAUGGAAACUGAUUGACUAGAGUAUGGUAGGGGUAGCGGGAAUUCCAGGUGUAGCGGUGAAAUGCGUAGAUAUCUGGAAGAACACCAGCGGCGAAAGCGCGCUACUGGGCCAUAACUGACGCUCAUGGACGAAAGCUAGGGGAGCGAAAGGGAUUAGAUACCCCUGUAGUCCUAGCCGUAAACGAUGAACACUAGGUGUUGCGUGAAUCGACCCGCGCAGUGCCGUAGCCAACGCGUUAAGUGUUCCGCCUGGGGAGUACGCACGCAAGUGUGAAACUCAAAGGAAUUGACGGGGGCCCGCACAAGCGGUGGAGUAUGUGGUUUAAUUCGAUGCAACGCGAAGAACCUUACCAGGGUUUGACAUCCCCCGAAUCUCUUGGAAAC
rnacentral:rRNA from 1 species